rnacentral:rRNA from 1 species
UACGUAGGGGGCAAGCGUUGUCCGGAUUUAUUGGGCGUAAAGAGCGUGUAGGCGGCUAGGUAGGUCCGUUGUGAAAACUCGAGGCUCAACCUCGAGACGCCGGUGGAAACCAUCUAGCUAGAGUCCGGAAGAGGAGAGUGGAAGUUCCUGGAUGUAGCGGUGAAAUGACGCAGAUAUCAGGAAGAACACCCGUGGCGAAGGCGGCUCUCUGGGACGUUACUGACGCUGAGACGCGAAAGCGUGGGGAGCAAACAGG